UGGGGAAUAUUGGACAAUGGGGGAAACCCUGAUCCAGCAAUGCCGCGUGAAUGAAGAAGGCCUUAGGGUUGUAAAGUUCUUUCACCUGUGAAGAUAAUGACGGUAGCAGGAGAAGAAGCUCCGGCUAACUCCGUGCCAGCAGCCGCGGUAAGACGGAGGGAGCUAGCGUUGUUCGGAAUGACUGGGCGUAAAGGGCGCGUAGGCGGUUUUUUAAGUGAGGCGUGAAAGCCCUGGGCUUAACCCAGGAGGUGCGUUUCAUACUGGAAGACUUGAGUGCGAGAGAGGAAAGUGGAAUUCCUAGUGUAGAGGUGAAAUUCGUAGAUAUUAGGAAGAACACCUGUGGCGAAGGCGGCUUUCUGGCUCGCAACUGACGCUGAGGCGCGAAAGCGUGGGGAGCAAACAGG
rnacentral:rRNA from 1 species